GUAUGACGGAUCCACCCUGUCACUCGUAGUUACAAGACCUGACCAGACGGAAGCCAGAGACGAGCAGAUUGUACCAGCCGACCCUAACACGGUGGCACGGCGCCACUGCGCUCUAAGCAUUGGCUAUGGGGGCAGAGAGUCAAACUACUUCAGAGGCUUUAUUGAUCUGGUUCAGGUAUUAACUUGCAACUAAACGGUUUUCAAAUUCUGGUGGCGGAAAACUGUCCUCUCGGUCAGGGCGGAAGUCACGUGAUCUACAAGACCGUCAUUAUAAGAAAAAACCACACCGGAUGAAGAGAUGUAAAAUAGCAAUCUGUGAUUGGCUGUCAAACAUUCACGCGGCAGUGUCUUAAUAUUGCGUGCGAAAACGGUCCUUUUUCAGUGAAGGCUUGUCUUUGAAAAACUGAUCCUUGAUCAUGGGAAAUAUUUAUUCCGAAGACUGGCUGUGUCUGUUUGACAACGCUGAUCUGUCUGUGACGUCAGGAGACAAAAAUUCAUAUAUGGACUACUUC